UAACAUGCAUGUUUCAUUAAAAAUUACAAAGUUGUUCAGGACUACCAACCUUACAGUAGAGGUUGAGUAGUAUAUUUCUUCUACAUUC